GCCAUGAUAUUUUUAUAUGUGCAUAAUAUAUUGUAUUGCCCCUUCCCUAUUGUCUCCCUUGCUGUAAAUGCAUGUACAAAAAUGCUUUUAUUGCUGCAAAUGCAUAAAGAGUAGUUUCCAGAUUGUUGCUACUUUACUUCAAAUCUGCAGGUAUAUGUUGAGGGCAAUUAUUUUGCCUUUUCAGAAUCAUGGUUAUUAAAGACGCGCCUCAGGCAUGUCUCAAGCUCAAGGCUCACCAUGCUUUAACUCUAGCACCUUAUGCGCCUAGGCGUGCGC
rnacentral:misc_RNA from 1 species